GUGUUUUAUGAAAGGAGAGAACAUUGCCAGUCUCCUUGAGGAGGCUGGAAGAGGCUCUUGAAACUGGGAAUAAACAUUGGAUCAGGCACUGCCGCCUACUUCUCAUCAUCUCUCAUUCUUU